CUCAAUGGUAGCUGUGCGUGGGAGACCUUCGGGUCUGCCGGUCUUUGUCCGUUCUUAAUGCCGGUUCGCCAACCUGCGUACAGUUGCCACCUUU
rnacentral:antisense_RNA from 1 species